rnacentral:rRNA from 1 species
UAGAGUAUAGCCCAGAGAAAUUUGGAUUAAUCCUCUAUAACAUCUUUUAAUUUCAUGAUUUUAAGAUUAAAGUUUUAACGGUAAAAGAUGGGCAUGCGUCCUAUUAGUUUGUAGGUGAGGUAACGGCUCACCUAGACUACGAUAGGUAGGGGCCCUGAGAGGGGGAUCCCCCACACUGGUACUGAGACACGGACCAGACUCCUACGGGAGGCAGCAGUAAGGAAUAUUGGACAAUGGACGAAAGUCUGAUCCAGCCAUGCCGCGUGCAGGAUGACAGCCCUACGGGUUGUAAACUGCUUUUAUACAGGAAGAAACACUCCGACGUGUCGGAGCUUGACGGUAC